rnacentral:misc_RNA from 1 species
UGGUUAGCACGGUUUGGUUGGAUCCCUGCCCCGGGCAGCGACGUUCGACCGUACGUUCCUCUUCAAUAUUUCGGACCAUGCAAAGCUUGGCCGGCCUAUCGAUUUCCUGUGUUGCGUACCUACUAAAGACGGUAUUCGGUUGCCAAAUUUUUCCCUCGUUCGCCCAAUGCUUCCCGUUUGUUCGGCGCGGCUGCGGGUGAUCCCUCAAGCGUCGUUUGUGUUCCCCGGCGCAGCACGCAAAUCGUUGUCUUCGUCGUGGCGCACUAAUGACCGCUCGGGCUCUGGGAUACGGAAUACGCAAGGGGCAAAGGGGUCUUCGACCCGUAUUGUCCAACGAAAGCUUAAUGCUCACAAGAACGACAGCCGGUGCUGCGCGGGCGCUCGCGUCGCGUGGCCCGGCGUCUGUGAGGAAUGCUACCUGGUUGAUCCUGCCCAGUAGUCAUAUGCUUGUCUCU